rnacentral:rRNA from 1 species
CUCUGUGGAACCCUGAACACGCCUGAUCCUGUCUGAUCUCAGAAGCUAAGCAGGGUCAGGCCUGGUUAGUACUUGGAUGGGAGACCACCUAGGAAGACCAGGUGCUAUAGGUG